GAAAUUGGAUAUCAUGGGAAAUAAGACUUGAAUCCAAUAUCUUUAAUAUCCAUUUUGAUAGAAUUCAAACAAAUUACAAUUCAUACAAAUUACAAAUUUUAAUAAGCAAAUCAGUAAGCACACAAAAAUAAACAGAGGUAACAUUUAAAAUGUUAAAUAAUUAAUUUAAACUUAUUCUUUUUCUCAAUGGUCUCUUGCGUAAUCAGUCAUCCAGUCGCACGAACUUAUAUAUUAAAUAUUAAAAUUAUAAUGAAUAAAAUAAAAAAACAUAAUUAAUUUUACUAUUAAUUCUGUGUAUUCAUUUAGUAAUCAGGUUACAAUAAUAUUUCAGUUCAUAAUUUGUGUCUUUCUAGAUAAGUAUCUAUUUUUCUCGUUUUGUAUAUUUCACAUACAUAAAUUUUAUCAGAAAAGUAUAAGUUUCAAACCGCGAGAUUGCGCUACCGUCGAAACUCACAGCCAAUAGCGAAGCGAAGCCACACAAUACAGAGUACGAUUCGAACUGAACCGUUGCUUUGCUACGCUUCGCUACGACUUGCUUACGCUUUCGCUAUAAAAGUUAUAGAGUCCCACUGCUGAGCUGGUGUAGUAAACAUCGGGUGCGUUCACCAGACCAGCAUUGGGACUACGUGCAUUAUCGCCUGAGUCGAACGCCUGAGUCGAUCGUAUUCUAAGGAAUAUAGACGGUUCUAGAAGAGACCACACUAAACGUGACUAAACUCAACAGGGACGUUUGCAUAGGUAUAUAUUAACAUAGAGUGAGCCUUCACUCCGCGCGUCCUGACGACAAUUAUCUCUUCGACUGGUUUGCGCUAUCUCUUUCUAGCACAUUGUACCGAGAAACUAAGAUGACAUUAAGGUGUGAAUAUAGGCACGGAAGAGGAGGACAACUGUCGUAGCUUAAUAUGCGUAAGAGUGAAACAGCACUAAUCCAAAGAAAAAAGAUGGCGUCGUCACUUCGCUUUGAAUGACACUCUCUCUAUGUCAAUUUACCUCUAUGGACGUGUGCUGUGAUUGGCAGUCAUCGUCAUCGGAUUGCAUGAUUUGAGUUUCCACUAGACUUGUGUUAUGGACGGAUUUUACGGGCUGUGAUUGGUCGUAUUCAAAUCAAUGACAUAUUUGAUGACAUUUGAAAGAAAUACGUAACCCUGUUUUCUCGUUUGUUUUUGUUUAUGCAGUGUGUUUAUGUUAUACAAAAGAAAAAUAUUGAUAUUUUAGUUAUUAAUCUUGGAUUUUGAGACUAUUUUAUACGUUUAUACUUGUUUAUUGUAUUCAUUUUUGAACAGCCAUAUUAUUUCCAGCAAAAGUUAUGGAACGUUUACAGAUACAUAGUAAUAUUUAUAAAAAAAAAACAAAUUACUUUCUGCUUGCUUCCUAUAUUUUGUAAAUUUUUAAAGCUUCCUCCCAGACUCAUUUGAGUAUAAGGUGGUUCAUUUUUCCGAAAUAAAUGGAAAGGAUGGCGCAUUUAAUGCAGUGAUUUGAGCUAAUAUAACAACACAAGAAGAUGCUCAAAAUUGUCAAAAAGAAUAUGAAAAUAUUAAUAAAGUAAAUUUUAGAGUUCUAAGAACUUAUCCAAAUGAUUCUAUGAAGCUUGUUUUCAAGAAAGACUAUCGAUGCCAUCGCAAUACUCAGGCUAAUUUGCCUUCAUCAAAGACAAAAAAUCCGUCAUCUAAACAUGGUAACUGUCAGGCAUUCUUAAUAAUUACAGUGAAACCAUCAAGUAUGAAAAGGUAAAGUCUAUUUGCUAAUCUGAGACACAACUACUGUCUAGUGACGUUGGUAAUUUUUUUUGAGAAGUUAGGUUGCUAGACGUAACUGGAAAAGACUACACAACCAAACAUAACUACUCAUAGCCAAUAUUAUUAUUAACAGUAAACAGGCAUAAAUAACAUAACAUACACCAAUCAAUAAUUAUUUAUUUAAACCUUUAUAAUGUAUUGAUAACAGAUGAGAAAAGUAUUUAUUGUACAAAAUAAAAAUAUUUUAUAGAAAUAAAUUCCACAAAAUUUUA